rnacentral:pre_miRNA from 1 species
UCUAUGGACGAACAAAGAAAGUGGUUUCUUGAGAUGGAAUCUACUCCUGGAGAAGAUGCUGCGAA